rnacentral:rRNA from 1 species
CGUGCUUAACACACGCAAGUCGAACGGUAAGGCCCUUCGGGGUACACGAGUGGCGAACGGGUGAGUAACACGUGGGUGAUCUGCCCUGCACUUCGGGAUAAGCCUGGGAAACUGGGUCUAAUACCGGAUAUGACCUCUGCCUGCAUGGGUGGGGCGGAAAGCUUUUGUGGUGUGGGAUGGGCCCGCGGCCUAUCAGCUUGUUGGUGGGGUUAAGGCCUACCAAGGCGACGACGGGUAGCCGGCCUGAGAGGGUGACCGGCCGCACUGGGACUGAGACACGGCCCAGACUCC